GCGGAUGUAGUUCAGUCUGGCAGAACGCGACGUUGCCAACGUCGAGGUCAGGGGUUCGAGCCCCCUCGUCCGCACCA
rnacentral:tRNA from 1 species